UACGUAGGGACCGAGCGUUGUCCGGAUUCAUUGGGCGUAAAGAGCUCGUAGGCGGCCACUCAAGUCGAAUGUGAAACCUCGAGGCUUAACCUCGAGCCUGCAUUCGAUACUGCGGUGCUUGAGGACUGGAGAGGAGACUGGAAUUCGUGGUGUAGCAGUGAAAUGCGUAGAGAUCAUGAGGAAGACCAGUGGCGAAGGCGGGUCUCUGGACAGUUCCUGACACUGAGACACGAAGGCCAGGGGAGCAAACGGG
rnacentral:rRNA from 1 species